AUCCUCACCUCACCUCACACGAACACGCGCGAUCUCUCUCUGUCGAGAUUUUUUCUCAUGAUCGCCUCCUCUCUCUCUCUCUACAUCUUUUUCUCACUGCCCUCUCGGUGUCAGUCACUGUGCGAUCCGGGGGGCCCUGGAUCGAUCGAUGACCUGCCUCCGCGUGCAGACAAGGUUCCCAGUCAUCUUCAGAGCUACCGCUUGGAUCCGUACGUGGUCCUUACUCACUCCUAUGGACUCCAGGGAGCCUUUGGUUACUGGGUGCAACCAGUGGGAGAUGGUAGCACGGGCUAUAUUCAACCGAUUCGGAUGGCGGUCACAUAACAGGAUAGCAGUCUAGGGAGCUUAUCCUUCAUAUUACUGUAUCGGUUGUGAUUGUCAGCAUGUACUUUUCUUUUUGCUUUUGAUUCGCUCCGCUUGCGAGCUGUAAUAUUCUUAUGACUUUUUGAUACUUCGUGGAUUUUUAAUAAGAUGGCUGCAUGCAUCAUUAUGAUGCAAAGGCCGGGGGCACGCCUCCAUUUCCAAAAAAACACAUGUAUAUCAUGUAUGUGCAAAAUUUCUUAACAACAUACUCCCUCCGUUUCUAAAUAUAAGUCUUUUUAGAUAUUCUAAUUUGAACUGUGUAUAUAGACAUAUUUUAGAGUGUAGAUUCACUCAUUUUCCUCCGUUGUCAUCCACAUUGAAAUCUCUAAAAAGACAUAUUUAGGAGCGGAGGGAGUAUUUUCACACAAGGCAUACAAAAGAAAAGACAAAUAUGUAUUUCUACAAUGCCUUCUGAACAUUUUAAAAUUUAAAGUACCAAGCUCCUUGGACCUGAUCACCAAAAGUCCACACUCCUGAAAAAAAAACACCUUAUGUAGUGCUGCGUUAAGUUCAGCAAACAACAUGGACACACCAUGAUUUCAGCACGAAACCAACAUUUAUUCAGGACUCCACGUUGGAGCGGAAAAACCCCCAAAAUUCGCCUUAUUCGGGCGUUACAUAGUUUCACAGCGCAGAUAACAGUGUCAUUCCUCUAUCUUCCUGAUCAUCUCGUUUCCCUAAUGUUCAAAG